GAGCAUGGCUACGGGUUGCACUGAUGGAGAAACGGCUGUCUGAAUACAUCGCCACAGCUUUGCGAGAUAGCCGCACCACCAGGCGGUUCUACGAUGAAGGUGCCAUAAUGUUGCGAGAAGAAGCAACUGUUUUGACCGGAAUGCUCAUCGGACUUGGAGCGAUUGACUUCAGUUUCUGUUUGAAAGGGGAGGCUCUGGAUGGGAAGUCUGAGGCUGUUAUUGACUACACUCCUUAUCUGAAAUUUACACAAAG